UGAUGUGUAGGAUAGGUGGGAGGCUUUGAAGCGUGGACGCCAGUCUGCGUGGAGCCGACCUUGAAAUACCACCCUUUAAUGUUUGAUGUUCUAACGUGGAUCCGUAAUCCGGGUUGCGGACAGUGUCUGGUGGGUAGUUUGACUGGGGCGGUCUCCUCCUAAAGAGUAACGGAGGAGCACGAAGGUUGGCUAAUCCUGGUCGGACAUCAGGAGGUUAGUGCAAUGGCAUAAGCCAGCUUGACUGCGAGCGUGACGGCGCGAGCAGGUGCGAAAGCAGGUCAUAGUGAUCCGGUGGUUCUGAAUGGAAGGGCCAUCGCUCAACGGAUAAAAGGUACUCCGGGGAUAACAGGCUGAUACCGCCCAAGAGUUCAUAUCGACGGCGGUGUUUGGCACCUCGAUGUCGGCUCAUCACAUCCUGGGGCUGAAGUAGGUCCCAAGGGUAUGGCUGUUCGCCAUUUAAAGUGGUACGCGAGCUGGGUUUAGAACGUCGUGAGACAGUUCGGUCCCUAUCUGCCGUGGGCGCUGGAGAACUGAGGGGGGCUGCUCCUAGUACGAGAGGACCGGAGUGGACGCAUCACUGGUGUUCGGGUUGUCAUGCCAAUGGCACUGCCCGGUAGCUAAAUGCGGAAGAGAUAAGUGCUGAAAGCAUCUAAGCACGAAACUUGCCCCGAGAUGAGUUCUCCCUGAGACUUAGAGUCUCCUGAAGGAACGUUGAAGACGACGACGUUGAUAGGCCGGGUGUGUAAGCGCAGCGAUGCGUUG
rnacentral:rRNA from 1 species